rnacentral:rRNA from 1 species
UACAGAGGGUGCAAGCGUUGUUCGGAAUUAUUGGGCGUAAAGCGCGUGUAGGCGGCUUUGCAAGUCGGGUGUGAAAGCCCUCAGCUCAACUGAGGAAGUGCGCCCGAAACUGCAUGGCUCGAGUACCGGAGAGGAUGGUGGAAUUCCCGAGGUAGAGGUGAAAUUCGUAGAUAUCGGGAGGAACACCGGUGGCGAAGGCGACCAUCUGGACGGAUACUGACGCUGAGACGCGAAAGCGUGGGUAGCAAACAGG